GACGAACGCUGGCGGCGUGCUUAACACAUGCAAGUCGAACGGAAAGGCCCUGCUUUUGUGGGGUGCUCGAGUGGCGACCGGGUGAGUAACACGUGAGUAACCUGCCCUUGACUUUGGGAUAACUUCAGGAAACUGGGGCUAAUACCGGAUAGGAGCUCCCGCUGCAUGGUGGGGGUUGGAAAGUUUCGGCGGUUGGGGAUGGACUCGCGGCUUAUCAGCUUGUUGGUGGGGUAGUGGCUUACCAAGGCUUUGGCGGGUAGCCGGCCUGGGAGGGUGACCGGCAUCAUGGGGACUGGGAGAGGGCCAAGACUCCUACGGGAGGCAGCGGUGGGAAAGAUUACACAAUGGGCGGAGGCCUAAUGCAGCAACGCCGCGUGCGGGAUGGCGGCCUACGGGUUAUAGACCGCAUUCGCCUGUGACGAAGCGUGAGUGACGGUAAUGGGUAAAGAAGCACCGGCUAACUACGUU
rnacentral:rRNA from 1 species